rnacentral:misc_RNA from 1 species
CGAAAAUAUUAAAGCACAGGAAGGAAUUGGUCUGGUCUUCUCUUCUCUGAGUGCUGAAAGAAGUUUGAACAAAUUGUCUCUUUUAUUAUGGCGAGAUCAUUAUCUCAAAUGAUGUUGAAGCGUUUUGCAGCCUACCCUCUUGCACGUUCAUCUGCAAUUACAUCCAGAUCCAUCCACCAGGGUGAAGUGCGGUAUUCAACUUCUGUGCCUAGUGAUCCGGACACACAUGAAGAUUUUAGGCCUACUAGUAAGCUUGAGAGUUCAGGUCUUUCUCUGGAGAAUAUUGUUGAGCAGGAUGUCAAGGAUAAUCCUGUGAUGAUAUACAUGAAAGGUGUGCCAGACCUGCCUCGUUGUGGAUUCAGCUCAUUGGCUGUUAGAGUUCUCAAAGAAUACAAUGCUCCAAUAAGUGCCAGAAAUAUCUUAGAAGAUCCUGAGCUUAAGAAUGCUGUAAAAGCUUUCAGCCACUGGCCCACAUUUCCACAAAUAUUUAUCAAUGGGGAGUUUAUCGGUGGAUCAGAUAUCAUCCUCAAUAUGCAUCAGAGUGGUGAACUCAAGGAAAAGCUGAAAACUAUCGUGAACAACCAGGGUAAAGAAGAAUGAGAGAUAUUACUGCAGAAAGUAGUACCGAUCUCUGCUUAUUCGUCGAACUGU